GCAAACAAAUUAGGGUAGCAGUUCGGAGAAGCACGACCGUCCGCACGAAGGAGAAUCAAACAUCAGCAAAGGGCAGUUAGGAGAAGCACAAUCGACCGCCACUAAGGAGAAUCCAGCGGAGAAGCACAGCACGGUCGUCCGCGACUAAGGCGAAUCACACACUAGGGAAGAAACACAGCAAACAAAUUAGUGCAGCAAAAGCAUCCUAAGGAGAAUCAAAACUAAAGCAAAAGGAAAGCUGAUUUGGUCUCUUUGCGUCCGGGAGAAGAUGCCUGGUGCAUCUACACUUAGAGACUGCAAGACUUUGGAAAGCAUCAAUAAAAAACAGGCUGAAAGCAAACAAUUAUAUGCUGCAAUAUGUGCCUCCCCUGCAGUAGCUCUUGGAUCGUGGGGACUGUUGAAGGGGCUUAAGGCAAUAAUUUCCACUCAUUGAAUGUGGGUGGUGUGUUGGAUUUUUAAUUUGGAACUGGAAAAGGAGGGGGUUUCUUGCAGUAACAGUCCAAAGCUUUGUUAAGUGGAGGAUGUUGCGGCCAUGGGGUGGAUCUCAAAAUGGGAAAUGAAGCUUUAUGUUGAAACCGACUGGGCAGUAUUAUACACUAGAUGGAUGGGAAAUGCUUGUUCUAUCUGUUGAUUUGGAACAAUCUGAGUAUGUUGAAUGGUGGCUGGGUGAGCUAAUGGAAUUAAUUGAAUGAAGAAGAUGGUCCACCUAGCUUGGUGGACCAUUGGAAUAAUUGAUUUACAUAAUGGGAUUGUUUGGUAGAGUUCUGGCAUUGCUAAUGGGAUGAGCUACUGGAAAAUUGUUGGCUUCGACUUUAAUUUGCUUUGCUGCUCUGUCUUUAAUUUGCUUUGCUUUCCAGUGUGGUGAUGUAAAUGCACCUUGCUCUGCUAUGGAGCCCAGCCAUUCUGAAAUCACUGAAUCCAGUCGUGAUGAGAGGAAUAGAAAACAUAGGGAGCGGUAUGUUUGUAAUGAGACUCGACAGGCAGAGAUAAACAUGAGACGCCGAAAUGCUUCCUGUGAAACAUAUGGUAACCAAGAUCAGAUCACCACCAAUUUUAUCAAAUCUAUGCUGUCCGACAAUAAUUGACUCAACAAUUCUUGAAUCGGAUUCUUCACAGCAGCAUUGGUAACUUAUAUAAGUAUAUAAGAAAGUGCAUGAGGUUUAGUUUUUGUAUGUAUAUGUUGCCUUUAAAUAAAACACCAAAGGGUUUACUAUAUGGACAAUUUCAUACAUCGUAUCUCAGAAAUAGUAGUUUAGAAGGAGAUACAUAUAUUUUUCGAGUAAGAUAUUUGUGGCUAUAUGGAGUAGCUUACUAUUUAA